UACAGAGGGUGCGAGCGUUAAUCGGAAUUACUUGGCGUAAAGCGUGCGUAGACGGUUAUUUAAGUCGGGUGUGAAAGCCCCGGGCUCAACCUGGGAAUUGCAUUCGAGACUGAAUAGCUAGGGUACGGUAGAGGGAAGUGGAAUUUCCGGUGUAGCGGUGAAAUGCGUAGAUAUCGGAAGGAACAUCAGUGGCGAAAGCGACUUCCUGGACCAGUACCGACGUUCAGGCACGAAAGCGUGGGGAGCAAACAGG
rnacentral:rRNA from 1 species